UGGUAUGUGAUAGCUCAAAUAGGUAGAGCGUGAGGCCCUGGUGCUGAAUGGCUUGUAGGUUCGAUUCCUACCCAUACCAA
rnacentral:tRNA from 1 species